GAAGUCCAUUACAUUGAAGGAGUAGCGACCCACAGUGGCCCCGAGUCAUGCGGGUAUGAUCGUGAGGUCAUACGCGAAGCGUUGACAGGUGAAGUGCAGGCUAGCCAUUGAGCUGCGAUAAUUUAAAUGUUCUGGGUGCCGACGUUCUCGGGUUUGGCGGAAGGCAACACGAGGCGGUGCGCUAUAUCGCAAGUGCCGUCCUCGACCCAGCGUGGUCUUAGACCC
rnacentral:ncRNA from 1 species